GACGAACGCUGGCGGCGUGCUUAACACAUGCAAGUCGAACGGAAAGGCCCUGCUUUUGUGGGGUGCUCGAGUGGCGAACGGGUGAGUAACACGUGAGUAACCUGCCCUUGACUUUGGGAUAACUUCAGGAAACUGGGGCUAAUACCGGAUAGGAGCUCCUGCUGCAUGGUGGGGGUUGGAAAGUUUCGGCGGUUGGGGAUGGACUCGCGGCUUAUCAGCUUGUUGGUGGGGUAGUGGCUUACCAAGGCUUCGACGGGUAGCCGGCCUGAGAGGGUGACCGGCCACAUUGGGACUGAGAUACGGCCCAGACUCCUACGGGAGGCAGCAGUGGGGAAUAUUGCACAAUGGGCGGAAGCCUGAUGCAGCAACGCUGCGUGCGGGAUGACGGCCUUCGGGUUGUAAACCGCUUUCGCCUGUGACGAAGCGUGAGUGACGGUAAUGGGUAAAGAAGCACCGGCUAACUACGUG
rnacentral:rRNA from 1 species